AUUGAACGCUGGCGGCAGGCCUAACACAUGCAAGUCGAGCGAGCGGCGGACGGGUGAGGAAUGUAUGGGGACUGCCCGAUAGAGGGGGAUAACUACUGGAAACGGUGGCUAAUACCGCAUACUGUGGGAUAACCCAUAUGGGAUUAGCUAGUAGGUAAGGUAAUGGCUUACCUAGGCGACGAUCCCUCGCUGGUCGGAGAGGAUGAUCAGCCACACUGGGACUGAGACACGGCCCAGACUCCUACGGAGGCAGCAGUGGGGAAUAUUGCACAAGGGGUGCAAGCCUGAUGAAGCCAUGCCGCGUGUAUGAAGAAGGCCCUAGGGUUGUAAAGUAUGUUCAGUCGGGAGGCGUUACCGACAGAAGAAGCACCGGCUAACUCCGUGCCAGCAGCCGCGGUAAUAC
rnacentral:rRNA from 1 species